rnacentral:rRNA from 1 species
GACGAACGCUGGCGGCGUGCCUAAUACAUGCAAGUAGAACGCUGAAGGAGGAGCUUGCUCUUCUGGAUGAGUUGCGAACGGGUGAGUAACGCGUAGGUAACCUGCCUGGUAGCGGGGGAUAACUAUUGGAAACGAUAGCUAAUACCGCAUAAGAGUAGAUGUUGCAUGACAUUUACUUAAAAGGUGCAAUUGCAUCACUACCAGAUGGACCUGCGUUGUCUUAGCUAGUUGGUGGGGUAACGGCUUACCAAGGCGACGAUACAUAGCCGACCUGAGAGGGGGAUCGGCCACCCUGGGACUGAGACACGGCCCAGACUCCUACGGGAGGCAGCAGUAGGGAAUCUUCGGCAAUGGACGGAAGUCUGACCGAGCAACGCCGCGUGAGUGAAGAAGGUUUUCGGAUCGUAAAGCUCUGUUGUAAGAGAAGAACGAGUGUGAGAGUGGAAAGUUCACACUGUGACGGUAUCUUACCAGAAAGGGACGGCUAACUACGUG